GUUAUUUGAGGUGGACAAUUUCGUGGCAUCCACACGCCGACGGUAUGACAGAAGGAAACUUCGAGAGAUGCAGGAGUAAGCCACGCCUGCCAAAUAAC
rnacentral:ncRNA from 1 species